GACCCCGGGCUGCUCGGCGUUUCCUCCUCCCGCCCUCCAGCUCUCCCCGCCUCGCGCCGCCUCUCCGGGUCCCUGUGCCCACUCAUCUCCCCCACGCGGCCCUCGGUUCUGACCCUGUUAGGGGUUCAAUCCCGGCCCGGCCGCCGAGUAGCCGAGGACCUGGAGUAAGUUCUUCCCUUCCCCGGGCCGCUCCCGUCGGGGCGGGUCGGGGGGACGGCAGGGCCCCUCCCGGGACUGGGGGCGCCCUCACCCGCACACGGGUGUUCGCGCCUAUGAACGGCUGCCGCCGCCCGGACUCUGGGCCAGCACCUCCCACCGGCGGGUCGGUGGCACCUCUGUUCCCAUCGUGUCCCUCGGAACGGACACUAUUACCCUCCGCGCCGAGGAGGAAGGGGGGACGGAGACCUGGUCCCAGCCCCGACUCAGUCCCGAGCCCCCAGCAUCCGUGCCCUUCCGCGCUGCCACGGUUUCUUCCCGAAGGUUAACGCCUGGCAGGAAGAUGACCUGUUUGACGCCAGGAAACCAUUUCUGCUGACAUCCUGUUCCCACUGCGGCCUGGCCCUGGAGCUUCUCCCGACGUGAACGGGAGAGCGCAGCGGGGGCUGACCGCGGAUGUGAAGCCGGUCUCAGGACGGCUCGCCAGGGCGGGAGGACGGGCGUCCCGCUCUGUGGUGCUUCCCCCCAAAGUGCCAAGAAUAUUUGUCAAUGGGACUUUCAUUGGAGGGACACCGACACCCACGGGCUCCACCAGGGCGGGAAACUGCUUCCACUGGUUCAUCGGUGUUAUUUAAAAAAAGCAACAAGCAUUUCGGCGACAGUGUUUGAGGAUGUCUCACUAUGUGAACAGUCUUCGUGAAAACGUUAAAAUGAUGAACAAUACAUCGCUGUGGAGACCUCA